rnacentral:rRNA from 1 species
AACGAACGCUGGCGGCAUGCCUAACACAUGCAAGUCGAACGAGACCUUCGGGUCUAGUGGCGCACGGGUGCGUAACGCGUGGGAACCUGCCCUUAGGUUCGGAAUAACUCCCCGAAAGGGGUGCUAAUACCGGAUAAUGUCUUCGGACCAAAGAUUUAUCGCCUUUGGAUGGGCCCGCGUUGGAUUAGCUAGUUGGUAGGGUAAAAGCCUACCAAGGCGACGAUCCAUAGCUGGUCUGAGAGGAUGAUCAGCCACACUGGGACUGAGACACGGCCCAGACUCCUACGGGAGGCAGCAGUGGGGAAGAUUGGACAAUGGGCGAAAGCCUGAGCCAGCAAUGCCGCGUGAGUGAUGAAGGCCUAAGGGUUGUAAAGCUCUUUUACCCGGGAUGAUAAUGACAGUACCGGGAGAAUACGCUCCGGCUAACUCCG